UACGUAGGGCGCAAGCGUUUGUCCGGAAUUAUUGGGCGUAAAGAGCUCGUAGGCGGUUUGUCGCGUUCUGUCGUGAAAGCUUGGGGCUUAACCCCAAGUCUGCGGUGGAUACGGGCAGACUAGAGGCAGGUAGGGGAGAACGGAAUUCCCGGUGUAGCGGUGAAAUGCGCAGAUAGUCGGGAGGAACACCGGUGGCGAAGGCGGUUCUCUGGGCCUGUACUGACGCUGAGGAGCGAAAGCGUGGGGAGCGAACAGG
rnacentral:rRNA from 1 species